GAUGAACGCUGGCGGCGUGCCUAAUACAUGCAAGUCGAGCGAACGGACGAGAAGCUUGCUUUUCUGAUGUUAGCGGCGGACGGGUGAGUAACACGUGGAUAACCUACCUAUAAGACUGGGAUAACUUCGGGAAACCGGAGCUAAUACCGGAUAAUAUUUUGAACCGCAUGGUUCAAAAGUGAAAGACGGUCUUGCUGUCACUUAUAGAUGGAUCCGCGCUGCAUUAGCUAGUUGGUAAGGUAACGGCUUACCAAGGCAACGAUGCAUAGCCGACCUGAGAGGGUGCUCGGCCACACUGGAACUGAGACACGGUCCAGACUCCUACGGGAGGCAGCAGUAGGGAAUCUUCCGCAAUGGGCGAAAGCCUGACGGAGCAACGCCGCGUGAGUGAUGAAGGUCUUCGGAUCGUAAAACUCUGUUAUUAGGGAAGAACAUAUGUGUAGGUAACUGUGCACAUCUUGACGGUACCUAAUCAGAAAGCCACGGCUAACUACGU
rnacentral:rRNA from 1 species